rnacentral:misc_RNA from 1 species
AGCGUUCGAUUACCAAAGGAAAGGCAGCUCUGCUCGCGCAUGCAUACACAAACACGCGGGAGCUCGAAAACAGACACACCCCCUUGACUGCGCUCUUCAUAUUCACGAUAGAGGACGCUGCGGCGGCCGUGGUCAACCCCAUGGAGGCGUCGCGCUACAUCUACACAUAUCGCAUCUUCGUGAGCGGUCGUGUACAGGGUGUCUUCUACCGCAAGUACACGGCGCUCAAGGCCACGGAGCUGGGCGUGACAGGCUUUGUGCGCAACUUACCAGACGGCCGGGUCGAGAUCUUGGCCGAGGGGACCAAGGAGCAAAUCGGCGCACUGGAGGCGUGGUGCCACAGAGGGUCGCCAAAGGCGCAGGUGACGGCCGUGGACGUGGAGGAUUGCACGCAGGUGGUGCCUCCGAGCGGCGGUGCAGAGGCGAUGGCGAAGCCGCCGAUGAACCGCACGAUGAGCGGCUUCGUGGUGAGCCGCUAGUGGAGCGGAAGACGGGCAAGAAGAUGAGCAGGCGGAGAACAGCGGGAAGGAUCCACUGCAUCUUUUUUUUUCGUGCGUGUGUUAUUGUCGUUAGCUUCCCUCGCCGUGGUUGCCCGCGUUCACCGGCUUUCUCUUGUCGUGGCGCGGUGGUUUCUGUUUGACUGCUUUGUGGAAGUAGGGAAAACCGUCCCGGUCUUGCCCACAGAGGCCACCCCCUCCCUCCCUCCCUUCCCCCUCACCCCUCCUCAACCGUCGCUCUUUCACAUGUCCUGAUGGUAUAGCCCCUCGCCUUCUCGUCUUGCUGUUCUUCUUCGGCAUGGGACAAACGUGUUCUUGCCACUGCACGGUCUUGCGGCUUCUCUGAAGGAGGGAAACCGGGGUUGCCAUGUAGAGCACGCGAGCACGUGUUCGGGCGAUGAGCAUGUGCGCGCGGCAUCACUUUCCAUCCCACUGCUCUUCUUCAAGUGCGUCUGCUGUGGUAACAGACGACUGAAACUGAACCCUGCACGCUCAGGCACAUAGACACCCGUAGAGCUGCACGUGUGUACGCUUUCGCGUGCGUGUGUGUGUGUGUGUGUGUGCUCCGCGUCGCGUUGCUGUGCUCGAGAGAUACAAACUACGUGUCCCCUCCUCAUCCCUUUUCUGCCCCUCACACGCCAUCGCGUCCGCCGACGCAG